rnacentral:rRNA from 1 species
UCGCCUACAUGAAGUCGGAAUUGCUAGUAAUCGCGGAUCAGCAUGCCGCGGUGAAUACGUUCCCGGGCCUUGUACACACCGCCCGUCACACCAUGAGAGCCGGUAACACCCGAAGUCAGUAGCCUAACCGCAAGGGGGGCGCUGCCGAAGGUGGGAUUGGUAAUUGGGGUGAAGUCGUAACAAGGUAUC